UGAAAGUAAGGAAAAACGGAAAAAAGAAAAGAUAAGGAGGGGCUAGUUUCUUUGGGGAAAGGGACACGAAAAAGGCACCUAAAAAAAAGAAGAGGAAGGAAACAAAAAUGAAAGAUACGAAAACAACAAAAAGAAAGAGAGCUUGAAAUCUCACAAUCACUCAUCUUCCUCAUAUUCCUUUUGAACAUAAACAAUGGCUAUAUUCUAUCCAAAUUCAGCUAGAUUGAAAUUAAUCUAUCAAAGCAACGUAAUGGAAAUCGAUUUCGUCGGUUGAGUUGAUGUCGAGUGAUUGAGGCUGAGAUCUGGUGCGUAGUAACCUGUGCUUUGUUCGAAUUCGAGGUGCAAUCACAUUCAAGGAAAAAUAAUAUAAUACAAACGACUUUUUCUUUUUCUACCUUGCUUCAAUUUUUACUUCGUAUAUCAUAAAUUAGUGGUUUAUUUGUUAUGUUUCAUCACGUUUUGAUAAUUUUAUUUAUUUAUUUAUUUUGCUUAAUUUGUGCUUGUUGUGUAGAAUAAAAAUAAUAACGAUUUUUGACUUUUUCUUUAUGUUUUUUUUUGGGUUUCGUAAGUGUGAUAUGUACUGAAAUUCUUUCUCCUCUAUAUAAUGUUCAGUUCAUUUCUGUAUCAGCCUUCCUAUUUAGCUGCUUUGGUAUUUUGCACUAAUUCUUUUUUCAUCACGAGUUUGAUUAGUUUAAUAAGAUCAUAAAUUGGACGAUAGUUUUGGUUAUUAAAAAGGUGAAGAUGAAACUGUUUUGGGGUUCUUCUCUUCGUCUCUGAUUUCUCAUUAUCACUGUGUAUGUGCUUUAUUGGAUUUUGUUUUGUUAUUUUUUUUAGCUGACCUUUAUUGAUUCCACAUAGUCUUCUGUUGGGCUUAGUUUCCAAUUAUUUUCCAUAGUCCUCCGUCUUGGUUUUAUUACAAGUUUAAUACAUGGUUUAAAUAUGAAAAUUUCUUAGAAAUUUGGGAUUUUGGGAGAAAAUAUAGAAUUUGGUAUUUUUGGAUUUUGACCACGAAAUUGGAUAUGGAAUUAAGAAUAAAUUAUAUAUUUGAGUUCGUGGUGUUAUGGAUAAAGUUUAUCUUCGAAAAUUUUCGAAAUUCGGGCGUGUGGGUCCGAGGGUUGACUUUAUUGGCUUUUGAGCGAAGCUGAGAAUCAUUAUAAAUUAUUAAAUUAUAUGUAUUGGGGUAUAUUUUGAUUGGUUUGUACGCUGUUUGACUAGUUUUGAAGAGACGAGCAUCGGGUUGAGGUGUUUGAGUGGUGUUGGAGCCAGUUAUGAAAUUUCGAAGCGAGGUAAGUCUCUUGUCUAAUCUUGUGAGGGGGAAUUUAUCCCAUAGGUAAUUAAAGUAAUAAUUAUUGCUAAUUGUGGGGGCUACGUAUGCACGAGGUGACGGGAGUCCGUACGUAGCUACUAUUAAUGCUAAAGUCCGAGUAGUUUAGGACACAAAACAUGAAUUACUUGUGCAAAUUGAGCAUAUGAUAUUUUCAUCUUUUAAUAUAUAUAU
rnacentral:lncRNA from 1 species